UCUCAGGUGGCUCAGUGGUAAAGAAUCUGCCUGCCAAGCAGGAGACACGGGUUCGAUCCCUGGGUUGGGAA
rnacentral:tRNA from 1 species